AGCCUGCAUCUCCAGAUAAAACGGGAAAAUAGAUACAGGUGACCCAGGGCAUUUCAACAUAGCUGCUGGCCUAAAAGCCAGGGAUCAUACCUUUAAGGGAGUGAUAAAUGUGGAAGAACAUGGCUACCUAUAAAUCACCUACAUAUCCCAGAGCCUCAGGAACAAGUCAGACAUUUGGACCAGAUGCUCUUGGAUUAAGGAAGCUGAUUGCGUGUGAUCAUUCAUUCAUUACUAAGCGGCUGUGAUGCGACAAUCCUAGGAAUUCUUACUCAGUUUGCUCCUACUGCCAGUUGUAUUCCUUCAUUCUACCAUGGGAGACAGGUCCUUCCAUAUCUCAGCAUUUGAAGCAUGAGUUGCUCAUUACAGAAACAAAAAGAAAAAUAUCAAAUAUUUAACCACAGAAUCCAAAAGCCACCAGUAUAAAAGUAAAAUGGAGAAAGUCAGAUGGGUUUCUGCCUUUUCCAACCAGAUAAAAGACGUCACGGGCUGAGAAAGAAGGCAAGGCCACACACAGAGGACGGCAGGAGGUCACCGUGCCUGUCUUUAGGCAAGAGCGACACUCGCUAUGCGCCAAGAUUCCUUUCAAGCUCUGUGUGGCCAACUCACAGAAACAGAAACAGGAAGCAGAUGGAAAAUACGCGGAAGUGCACAGGAAGUAAACAGGGUCCAGAGUCCCGGAAGGAGCAUGACAGCAUCCUCUCCUGUGUGGGUUCACUGAGAAAUCCUGAGUCGAUGUCUCUCUAAGGACACUGAGAUCUGCCUGUGUACGUAAGAGAGACUCUGAAGGCUGUGCAGAGGAGCCUGAGCCUUCAUGACCAACUUGAGUUACAACCAGUUGAGUUCGUCAGUCAAGGGUCCGGUGCCUCAGUACCUUCUGCAGCAUACAGUGCUUCGGCCCCUGUGUGGAGUGGCAUACGUACCCAGCACAUCGUCACUCCUCUGCCUCCCCUGCCUCCCUCCACCUCUUCAUCCUCUCCCCAUCUGAAUAAAUCCACCUCCUACUUCCCAUGAUUCAUCUUUCAUUUUCCUCUUCAUUUAUACUUUGGC
rnacentral:lncRNA from 1 species